rnacentral:rRNA from 1 species
UUUAGAGAUAGGAGGGUGCUACGAAAGAGAGCCGUAACACAGGUGCUGCAUGGCUGUCGUCAGCUCGUGUCGUGAGAUGUUGGGUUAAGUCCCGCAACGAGCGCAACCCUUGUCAUUAGUUGCUACAUUCAGUUGGGCACUCUAAUGAGACUGCCGGUGACAAGCCGGAGGAAGGUGGGGAUGACGUCAAGUCCUCAUGGCCCUUAUAGGUGGGGCUACACACGUCAUACAAUGGCUGGUACAAAGGGUUGCCAACCCGCGAGGGGGAGCCAAUCCCAUAAAGCCAGUCGUAGUCCGGAUCGUAGUCUGCAACUCGACUACGUGAAGUCGGAAUCGCUAGUAAUCGUGGAUCAGAAUGUCACGGUGAAUACGUUCCCGGGUCUU